rnacentral:rRNA from 1 species
GCCCCUAGCAAUACACAAGUAUUAAGGGUAAUGCCUGCCCAGUGACAAUGUUAAACGGCCGCGGUAUCCUAACCGUGCAAAGGUAGCGUAAUCACUUGUCUUUUAAAUAAAGACUAGAAUGAAUGGCCAAACGAGGUUCCACCUGUCUCUUACAAAUAAUCAGUGAAAUUGAUCUUCCUGUGCAAAAGCAGGAAUAACAUUAUAAGACGAGAAGACCCUGUGGAACUUCAAAUACAAAUCAAUUAUCAUUAAUAUCCACCUACAAGGCUCAUACUAAACUAACAUCUGAUUUAUAUUUUUCGGUUGGGGCGACCUCGGAGUAAAACAAAACCUCCGAAAAAUAGAACUCUAUCUAAACCUAGACCUACAACCCAAAGUGCUUUCAGCAAAAUGAUCCAAUAUACUUGAUCAACGAACCAAGCUACCCCAGGGAUAACAGCGCAAUCCCAUCCUAGAGUUCCCAUCGACGAUGGGGUUUACGACCUCGAUGUUGGAUCAGGACAUCCUGAUGGUGCAGCCGCUAUCAAGGGUUCGUUUGUUCAACGAUUAAUAGUCCUACGUGA